rnacentral:rRNA from 1 species
CAGUCGCCACGGGAACACGUAGGGCGCAAGCGUUGUCCGGAAUUAUUGGGCGUAAAGAGCUCGUAGGCGGUCUGUCGCGUCUGGUGUGAAAUCCCGAGGCUCAACCUCGGGCUUGCAUCGGGUACGGGCAGACUAGAGUGCGGUAGGGGAGACUGGAAUUCCUGGUGUAGCGGUGGAAUGCGCAGAUAUCAGGAGGAACACCGAUGGCGAAGGCAGGUCUCUGGGCCGCAACUGACGCUGAGGAGCGAAAGCAUGGGGAGCGAACAGGAUUAGAUACCCGCGUAGUCCCUGUCUCUUAUAC